AUGAACCUAUUUGGCGUACGCCACAAUGUCUUCGUUAUCAGACCACCAUUGAUCUACCUCGCUAUUCGGGCUUUGUUGGAGUUGUCAGACCAUCUACAGCUGCACCCCACCGGGGCGAACGGCCAAAAACCCGACUUGUCCGCCCGAUCAUUGACUGGUCACAAGACCCUAAAACAACCGAACCCCUGCAACCACCCUAUGUUCGGGCAGAUAGAGGAAACGAAUCUGUCCCACGCUUCGCCAUUCAGUCCUUCUGACGGGAAUCCAUUGCUUCUGUGCAAGUGGGCACAGGCGGCCAACCGCGGAGGCUCCAGAACUGGCAAGAAGAGGGUGGCAGUACAGGCACUCCGCACCGGCCUUUCCCUGGCUGGUCGCAAAACCCCUAUGGUGGGUCAUCAUAGCGGUGUCGUCCAAGGUAAACGCAGGCACUGCCCACUGCCUCGGAUGCAAUGCCCAAGGUGCGGUAAGACUGCGGCUGAGGACCGACGUGCCCAUCGUGCAAGGAACAAGGCCCGGAACGCCGCCAAGGCCGAGUCGUGCUUCGCCGCCCCAGGCAAGGGUUCAGAGGCCAGGGUCGUCGAAGACGCUCGUGCCAGCAUUUGGGCGAAGCGGCAAGCCCUGGCUGCGUGUGCCUUUGCAUUGGAGCAAAGCUACGCUAUAUGUGGCCUCUCUGCCAGCGUGUCCCUCUCGUGUCGCCUCCCCCGCGGGCGGCUCGGGAGGGCUCAGCCACCGCCUAGAAACCCUCCAGCGGCCUUCCCCCCCUCCGCCGCUGCCGAUGGUCGGCGUCGGGCAAAGCCCGUGCGUGCGACGGCGGCGGCGGAGGGUCUCUCCUCCCUCUCCCGGAUCCGCGGCAAUCCCGGAAGCGGCGGGCUCGCGGCGGUGCACGGGCGCCCAGAUCCAUCGGUGUGGGGCUCCCGGCAGCGUGCGGGCUCCCGGCAGCGUGCGGGCUCCCUGCGGCGGCGGGAUCGGUUGACGGUGGGCUUGGGCGAUGGCGCCGCCCGCGCGGUGCCGGAUCUCGUCGCUCGUGGUGGAUCUCAUCACUCCGGCCUUCGUGGAGGAACCUGGACCUGGGGCGGCGACCCCAUUAGGCAUGGCGACGGCGCCCUCGACUGGCGACGUUCGCGGGGGGUGGAUGGACGUCAUCUUGACCGUGUGGGCGGUGAGUUGCCGGUGGAUCUCCUCCGCGCUGUAGGCUCUCUCACGCUACACUUGGUGGCUUACGAUCGCGGUCGUCGGCCCCGGGUCGCCGUUCUCCUACUUGCAGGCGCCGUCGAGGUCCCUGUCCUCCACCCCGACCCCAUGCCCGGUGGUCAGAAGUUCAUCAUCACUGAUGAUCUCCAAGUGACUCCUUCUACAAGCGUCGUGUUUUCCCUAUUCGACAAGCUUGGGCUACAAGGGGAAGUCAAGCUCGAGGAGAAGGUUUUCACACUCAAUUCCAAUAAGAUGACUAGCCUGCUUAAGAAUGCAUUGAUGUCCAAGCAACCUUUAACUCGACUGUGUUUUGAUGUUGCAAUCUCACCGGACGCCUUAAAUCUUGAUCGGCUCCUUCAAGAUCUUCCUCAAAAAGAAGCUAAUGAGACAAAGCCCGCAACAUUUGGUGAGACAAAUCCAAAGUCCCCAACCAAUGGAAGGGAUGACACUGCUAAAGCAUAUGUCAAGGGAGGGCUCAGAAACUUCUUGGUGACCAAUGAUCUGCGUGUCUGUCAUUUCUCACUGGCUAACACUCUCCAAGUCAUGCGUGCAGCUAAGAUUCCAAAGGAGAAACUUGUGGAGAAGGAGAUCACUCUUGAUAUGACCCAGGAUCCUGUUUACUCCUGGCCCUUUGAGUUGCUUAAAAUUUCUGUUCAUCCUUUCUUAACCCCGAGGAUUCUAGAGGCGGCUCCUAGAGAAGGUAUCUCCUACUCCUGGCGCAGCUUACUCCAUGGGCUACACGUCUUCCGGGAAGGGUACAUCUGGAGGAUUGGCGAUGGUACGCAAGUAAAAAUUUGGUCAGAUUCGUGGAUACCUCGAUCUUGGUCACGGCGAGUCUUGACCCCCAAAGGGCAAAAUCUCCUUGAGCGGGUUUGUGACCUUAUCGAUCCAACCACCGGAAAGUGGGACGAACAGCUGGUGAGAGACACCUUCUGGGCGGAUGAUGUCAAACAUAUUCUCCAGAUACCGUUACGAGAAGGGGUCCAAGAUUUCAUUGCAUGGCAGUACGAUACCAAGGGUGUCUACACCGUCAAGAAUAGUGCUAAGGAUGAUUCCUGGAAGCGCCUUUGGAAGAUGCCAUGCCCAAAAAACAUCCAAAUGUUUACUUGGCGGCUCAAGCAUGAAUCCCUCGCACUCCGCACAAAUAUAGCACGUAAGGGAAUCCCUAUCGCUGACACAAAGUGCUUGUUCUGUGGUAAGGCUGAUGAGGACGAAGCACAUCUGUUCAUAAAGUGCAAGUCAGCAAAGGAGAUGUGGAGGGAUCUAACCAUGGAGAAGGAACACAUUGAACUAGAGAGCAUUACAUCCAAAAAACAAAUUUCCUUAUCCUUCUCUUCCAUCCUCCCCCGAUUUCUCUCCUACCAGAGCUCCAUAACCACGACGCCGCAUCCGCCGCCGCUGCUGCCUCCUACGAUUUGGGCGAGCUCCGGCGCUCUCCCGCGGCAUAGCUUGUCGGCCCUGCCACCCUCAGUGCUCCCAGCGGAUCAUCCACUUCCGCGACGUCCUCAACGCCCCUGCCCGUGCCCCUGCAUCAACCCUAGUCGCCAUGGGUCGAGGGCGCAGCCCCUGCCCCUCCGGUUGGUCGGCUCGCUACCCCCCGCAUCUCCGGACGGGCGGUUGCCGCCACAGGCUGGACGGCGCUGUUCCGCCACGUCUACCUCGACUCCGGCGCCAAUAGUUCAGGUUUGUCAUCAUGGCAUCGUAGAUGACGGCUGGAUAUACCAAUACCUACAGCCGCUCUCUCCCAGGGAGGCUGCCAUGGUCGCCUACUGCCUACCUCAUCGCUCACCUGGAUUAUCUCCCUGGAGAACGAAACCUGAUGCUCUAAUUUUGCUAUGCAGGUUUCUGCUGGUGAUCUUCUGCUUUAGUUGUUCAAACCAUAAUCGUGUUUGCAUAUCCAUAUGCUUAUCAGGAGAGAAUCUAGUUUUCCAUGGAAACAAGGUGAUCGUGCAUUAUUUAUUCACUCAUGUUACUAAAGCUUCUGUUGUCAAGGAGGCAGUAAUAUUCCAAAUUGCGCAUUUGAAUGAGUGCUGCAAGCUGGGAAGAUUGAUCUCUCUCUCCGAGAACGUUUGCCCCAUGUAUUUGAUAUCAUCUUAG
rnacentral:rRNA from 1 species